rnacentral:rRNA from 1 species
CGCGUAGGCGGGCUAUUAAGUUGGGGGUGAAAUUCCGAGGCUUAACUUCGGAACUGCCUUCAAAACUGGUAGCCUUGAGGUAUGGAGAGGGAAGUGGAAUUCCAGGUGUAGCGGUGAAAUGCGUAGAUAUCUGGAGGAACACCCGUGGCGAAGGCGGCUUCCUGGUCAUAUCCUGACGCUGAGGUGCGAAAGCUAGGGGAGCGAACG